GCUGAAAGCAUCUAAGCAUGAAGCCCCCCUCAAGAUGAGAUUUCCCAACUUCGGUUAUAAGAUCCCUCAAAGAUGAUGAGGUUAAUAGGUUCGAGGUGAAAGCAUAGCGAUAUGUGUAGCUGACGAAUACUAAUCGAUCGAAGACUUAAUCAAAUUUUA
rnacentral:rRNA from 1 species